CGCUGGCGGCGUGCUUAACACAUGCAAGUCGAACGGAAAGGCCCUGCUUUUGUGGGGUGCUCGAGUGGCGAACGGGUGAGUAACACGUGAGUAACCUGCCCUUGACUUUGGGAUAACUUCAGGAAACUGGGGCUAAUACCGGAUAGGAGCUCCUGCUGCAUGGUGGGGGUUGGAAAGUUUCGGCGGUUGGGGAUGGACUCGCGGCUUAUCAGCUUGUUGGUGGGGUAGUGGCUUACCAAGGCUUUGACGGGUAGCCGGCCUGAGAGGGUGACCGGCCACAUUGGGACUGAGAUACGGCCCAGACUCCUACGGGAGGCAGCAGUGGGGAAUAUUGCACAAUGGGCGGAAGCCUGAUGCAGCAACGCCGCGUGCGGGAUGACGGCCUUCGGGUUGUAAACCGCUUUCGCCUGUGACGAAGCGUGAGUGACGGUAAUGGGUAAAGAAGCACCGGCUAACUACGUGCCAGCAGCCGCGGUGAUACGUAGGGUGCGAGCGUUGUCCGGAUUUAUUGGGCGUAAAGGGCUCGUAGGUGGUUGAUCGCGUCGGAAGUGUAAUCUUGGGGCUUAACCCUGAGCGUGCUUUCGAUACGGGUUGACUUGAGGAAGGUAGGGGAGAAUGGAAUUCCUGGUGGAGCGGUGGAAUGCGCAGAUAUCAGGAGGAACACCAGUGGCGAAGGCGGUUCUCUGGGCCUUUCCUGACGCUGAGGAGCGAAAGCGUGGGGAGCGAACAGGCUUAGAUACCCUGGUAGUCCACGCUGUAAACGGUGGGUACUAGGUGUGGGGUCCAUUCCACGGGUUCCGUGCCGUAGCUAACGCUUUAAGUACCCCGCCUGGGGAGUACGGCCGCAAGGCUAAAACUCAAAGGAAUUGACGGGGCCCCGCACAAGCGGCGGAGCAUGCGGAUUAAUUCGAUGCAACGCGUAGAACCUUACCUGGGUUUGACAUGGAUCGGGAGUGCUCAGAGAUGGGUGUGCCUCUUUUGGGGUCGGUUCACAGGUGGUGCAUGGCUGUCGUCAGCUCGUGUCGUGAGAUGUUGGGUUAAGUCCCGCAACGAGCGCAACCCUUGUUCACUGUUGCCAGCACGUUAUGGUGGGGACUCAGUGGAGACCGCCGGGGUCAACUCGGAGGAAGGUGGGGAUGACGUCAAGUCAUCAUGCCCCUUAUGUCCAGGGCUUCACGCAUGCUACAAUGGCUGGUACAGAGAGUGGCGAGCCUGUGAGGGUGAGCGAAUCUCGGAAAGCCGGUCUCAGUUCGGAUUGGGGUCUGCAACUCGACCUCAUGAAGUCGGAGUCGCUAGUAAUCGCAGAUCAGCAACGCUGCGGUGAAUACGUCCCCGGGGCUUGUACACACCGCCCGUCAAGUCAUGAAAGUUGGUAACACCUGAAGCCGGUGGCCUAACCGUUGUGGGGGAGCCGUCGAAGGUGGGACUGGUGAUUAG
rnacentral:rRNA from 1 species